GCAAGUCGAGCGCACCUUCGGGUGAGCGGCGGACGGGUUAGUAACGCGUGGGAAUAUGCCCUUCUCUACGGAAUAGCCAUUGGAAACGAUGAGUAAUACCUUAUACGCCCUUCGGGGGAAAGAUUUAUCGGUGAAGGAUUGGCCCGCGUAAGAUUAGAUAGUUGGUGGGGUAAUGGCCUACCAAGUCUACGAUCUUUAGCUGGUUUGAGAGGAUGAUC
rnacentral:rRNA from 1 species